rnacentral:rRNA from 2 species
ACUUAUCGCUGGCGGCGUGCCUAAUACAUGCAGUCGAGCGAACGGACGAGAAGCUUGCUUCUCUGAUGGUAGCGGCGGACGGGUGAGUCCAACACGUGGAUAACCUAGCCAUAAGACUAAGAUAACUUCGGGAAACCGGAGCUAAUACGGGAUAACUCUUGAACCGCAUGGUUCAAAAGUGAAAGACGGUCUUGCUGUCACUUAUAGAUGGAUCCGCGCUGCAUUAGCUAGUUGAAUACGGUAACGGCUUACCAAGGCAACGAUGCAUAGCCGACCUGAGAGGGUGAUCGGCCACACUUUAACCGAGACACGGUCCAGACUCCUACGGGAGGCAGCAGUAGGGAAUCUUCCGCAAUGGGCGAAAGCCUGACGGAGCAACGCCGCGUGUGUGAUGAAGGUCUUCGGAUCGUAAAACUCAGUUAUUAGGAAGAACAUAUGUGUAAGUAACUGUGCACAUCUUGACGGUACCUAAUCAGAAAGCCACGGCUAACUACGUGCCAGCAGCCGCGGUAAUACGUAGGUGGCAAGCGUUAUCCGGAAUUAUUGGGCGUAAAGCGCGCGUAGGCGGUUGUUUAAGUCUGAUGUGAAAGCACACGGCUCAACCGUGGAGGGUCAUUGGACUGGAAAACUUGAGUGCAGAAGAGGAAAGUGGAAUUCCAUGUGUAGCCGUGAAAUGGGCAGAGAUUGGAGGAACACCAGUGGCGAAGGCGACUGUCUGGUCUGUAACUGACGCUGAUGUGCGAAAGCUGGGGUCAAACAGGAUUAGAUACCCUGGUAGUCCACGCCGUAAACGAUGAGUGCUAAGUGUUAGGGGGUUUCCGCCCCUUAGUGCUGCAGCUAACGCAUUAAGCACUCCGCCUGGGGAGUACGACCGCAAGGUUGAACUCAAAGGAAUUGACGGGGACCCGCACAAGCGGUGGAGCAUGUGGUU